AGAUCUGUCAUUACAUUAUAUUAAUUAUAUAUUAAAAGUAUUUACGUCCAAUGUUGAUUGGAUUUAGGGCAUAACACUUACAGUUGUCCAAAAAGAGAAUACAGUUGCGUGCAGACAAUUUUUGAAAUAUCUGGCUAAGGAUAUUUAGAUGAAAAAUAGGACUGAUUGGACUGUGAUGACAGAUAGGCAAAAGGGACUAAGUAAUGUUAUUGGUAAGUUACAUCUGAAGACAGAGAAUGGGUUAUGUAUCAGACACAUGUACACAAGCUUUUUCAAUAAGGGAUAUAAGGGCAAGACAUUGAAGAACUUGCUUUGGCAAGCUGCUAAGUCAACUACAUUAGCUGACUGCAGACAUGGAUGCAACAAAUUCGUCAAGUUAGUGAAGAAACUUAUAAAUGACUGAUGGAGAGGCCUCCGACCGAGUGGAGUAAAUCUCAUUUCAGGACACGUUUAGAAAGUGAUAUUUUAUUGAAAAACUUGUGCGAAGUUUCUAAUAAGAUGCUGAUAGAUGAUAAGAAGAAGAUGAUUGUAACGAUGCUAACAGAUAUGGAGUUGGAGUUUAUGACCAUGAUUGAGAAUCGUCAAAGUAAGGUAAGGAUGUACGGAGGGCAAUUGUUUUCAAGAAUAAAAAAGCUUGCUAAGAUAGAUGAGAUGUCCAACGAAUGCAUAUUUCAUUUUUUAGGAAGGCCUAAAUGGCAGGUAGAUUGUAGGUUAGGGACAUAUGUCAUUGACUUGGAAGAGCAGAGUUGCGUAUGUAGGAGGUGGGACUUGAUGGAAUACCAUGUAGUCUUGCCGUAGUCAUCAUACGGAAGUGUAGAAAAAAACCUGAGUAUAUGGUCAACUGCUACACAGUGGAUAUGUCUCUGAGAUGCACUGAUAAUAUUAUGAAUCCAAUUAAUGGGAUACGAUUGUGACCCUAGCUAGACACUCUACGUCUCUACCCAUCAUGCCAUCUUCAUGGACUCCUCAGCAAUGGGAAAGAAAGCAAAAGAGAAGAAGGAGACAAGCGGACAAAGAUAUUAUCUCACUAAGGGAAAUCGCAUGUUAAGAGAAAAUGAAAAGUAUCGAUGACAUGCUCAAUAUGUGAAUUACAUGGUCACAAUAAAAGGACUGGUACGAAGGACAAUUGUAGCCAGUUGAUUGGAAAUGGCACGCGCCAGGAGAUUUAAGGAGACACAAAAAACUUCUUCCCGACCAAGGCAAUGGAGCUAGUUCGAGCCAAAUACAUGAGGAAGUUUAUAGCUUUCAAUUCACGCCCACUCUCGACGUCGAGCAGCAAUCUGAAACUGUUGUUGCGAGUGAUGGGCCAGCUGCUCAUGUCCCUACUGUUGAUUAUACGAAUGUGGAGCAUCGUUAGACACACAAGUAUGGACUGAGCAAAUCCAACUUCUAGAAAUGGAUGAUGACUUCACACAACAACAAUAGCAAAUGCUACGGGACGUGGCUGGACAUCCAAUUUUUAUAGGCAGCAUGAAUCUCUUUGUGUAGUGUUUGAUGUAUUUUUGUGCUGGUUGCUGCUUGUUUAGGUAAUGAACUUAGGAAACUGGUGUGGAUGUUGUUUGUACUGCUGGUUUUUAUUUAUUAUUUAUUUUUUUGCGAAGACAAGAGCAGAUGUGUUUUAUUGAAGACAAUGACUUGAUUA